GCUCAUGCCGAUUGGACGAUCAACUGCAAUGUACCUGAAAUAUUAUAUUAUCUUCUACAUAAUCAUUCCGCGGAUAGUUUUGGUAAUUGCACAAGGCCAAGCAAGUGAAAGUUUGAAUUUUUGUUUUAAUUCAACUCUUGAAGGUAGGUAACUUGACUACGAACUUCCAUGCGAAGGCUGUCGAUUAAAACUUCGACGUUUUCAUAAUAACUUGUGACGGUCAGCUUUUUGUUGAAUACUAUAGACGUACCUAUAUAACCUACGCAAUUUACUUAUAUAUAUAUAUAUACCAAUUUGGUUAUGUUCGCCAGGUUUCAGACUUAAUACAACCGUUUGGCUGAAUAAAAGCGUUUCCAAACGGAUAGAAUGUAUUAUGGAAUGUGUCAAGGAGCCAUGUUGUAGGUCAAUCAACUACAAAAAGAUCUUUCAGAAUAAACCAAAUUGUGAAAUGUUACAUGACGUGAUCUACAGUACAUCUGAGAAAGUAUUGGGGAGAAACCCUUCUUAUGAUUAUGUUUAUCUGGUUGACCCACAAAAGGUAUGAAUUGCCUGUAGAGAGAGAUUACGUAUGGUUUCAAGAACUUCUGCUGAAAGGAAAUAUGAAAUUAAAAUAAAAUAAAACUGGUGUGUAUUCCAUAGCGCAACAGUAGUACAGGAAUUUGUACAUUUGGUAAAGCGUGUAAGCGAACCGUAAUAAUGUGCAAGUCAGUCUGUUUAAAAAACUCGUGCUGAAAAUUUCUUUCAAAUUUUCUACACGCUGCACGUUUUUACUUUUGCAGCCUAGCGGCAUGAAACUUCAUUCAGGAGCGCAGAGUAUGUAAAUCAAUGCGUCACGGCAUAUAUACAUGCAGUUUUCAAAUUUAAUAUCACUUCAUGCACGCGAAGUAGAUUAAAUUGCUCAAAGGCACGGUCAGCUUUUUUUACCGCUUGAACGGAUUGCUUCAAAAUUACCAG